ensembl:lncRNA
GCCAAGGUCACACAGAACAUGAGCGAGAGCAACUGUCACGACUGCUUUAUUUCAAUCCAGGUCAGAGUGUUAUGGGUUGGUCGCAUACCAGGAAACAGCUGAAAAUCAUCUUUGGCAACGCAAAAUAACAACUCCCGAAAACCGAGACCCGUCUUCCAUGCAACAACAAAAAGAAAAACGCCUCCCUUCCCAUUCCAUACAGGUCCUGCAGGGUCUCCAUACUGGCGGAUCACAAAGACAAACGGUACGCCGCCAGUAUCCGGAUGCUCGCUAACAUGUAAGAUAUGUCUGUUUCUCAAUCAGUGUUUGUGUGUUGUUAAGGUUUUUCUCUGGAUCAUCGCGUCAUCGUUAUUUCAUUUCAAGCAUCGGAAAAUGGACCGCUACUAAGACUUCUAAACAGCUGCAGGUUGGGCAGACCAGGGACCGACGUUGUCGUCACAAACCUAAGUGGAACAUAUUUGUUCGCGAUUUACAUCCACACGCUUCUGCCACAUCAAGGCCAACGUGACAGGAUGUAAGUAGCGAAAAAUUGUACGAAAAAAACGUUCUUUCUUUGAAAAGUUUAUUAGUCACGUUGAUAAUGUUUGGCAGCUAUACCUAAUCUAUGCAAACAAACAAACAAAUAAACUUAACAUUCUGUGUACAGUUAGAAAAAUUAACACCGUAAAAAAAAAGACAUAAACAUCGCCACUUUCCGUUUGUUUCAGCAGGGACAACCUGAUAACUCUCGGAACCUGGUCUGGUCCAGCACUCAGCCACAACAUUACCCCACAAAGUCAACAUCUUUAGUGUGAAGAGCAGAAGGUAAAACGUGAAAAAAAGUCGUCCUACAUGGGAGUUCUCGUUUUUUUCAUCAUAAUGUUGAUGCUAUAAGUGACAUCCACGUCUGCACGUAAAAAGUAUAUAUUUAUAUUUAUAUAAUAUAUAUCCAUACUCUAUUAACAGCUUUGUCUACCAGGAAACUUAUAAUCGCCACCCAUCUUUGAGAAAGGAAACUAAAUGAAGAACUUCAAACAUUGAAUAUUUUACAACACAGAAAUCAUCUAAUAUUGUACAACCGCCUUUUUACAGUCCCAACUUUUUUUAUUCUUAUCGAUUUUUUUAUUACUACUAUUUUGUAUUCCUCUUCAAGUCUCAGUGCAGUAAGACAGUUUGAUCCCAGUAAAACACAGUUAAAAAAAACAUUUACAAACCAAUGACGCUCUGUGGAAGUGGGAAUCCUCAACUGAACUUUGACCUUCCCACUCCUCCCUCCCAUGUCGCCAUCUGCAUACCCACGUUUGGCACGUUUUUUCUUUUUCCUUUAACAGUGAUAAACCGUGAUUCUAAGCAAAGUUUUGUGGACGAGAAUGGGUGUCUUGUCUUCUUGGAGGUGUAAAUAAAACAGACAUCGACUGAAACUCCAGCUACUAUCAAAACCAACCUCGACAUCACAGGAGCUACCGAGAAAUCGUAGUAAAAAAAGGGCUUGACCGGGAAACGCUUUGUUGAAUGGGGUUUGUAACCACUGUGUCUUAGGGUCAGAAUGUCUUCUGAGAGCCCUGAAGACCACAGAGGCCUAUUUCUAGGGCAGUGAAGGAGCACCAUGAUUGGUCAAUAUAUUUUUUUAAACCCCCUCCUCAUCAUCGAAAUCGCAUUCUCACCUUUUAGCCAGAUAUCGGAAUCGUUCCCUGUAUCUUUGUCGUAGCUGUGAUAUGAGAUUUCCCGCCCUUCCUUUUUAUUCGGUAGAAAGGUUUGUGUGCGUGUGCGUGUGUGUGUGUGUGUAGAUGUACAGUUGUGUUCUGACGAUAAGUCCCAGCGCAUUGCAUCGCGGAGAAGGCCUUACACAGAAAUCAGUGCAAUGUAAAAUACAACAAAGUCAUGUCGUCAAUGUACAUCAAAUACUAUACAACCAGAAUAAUACAAAAGAAACCCGAAAAUGAAAAAAACAAACAAGUAAAUGAUACAAAAAAAGGAAAAUAAAAAGUGUCCAGAAGCAUCGCUCUACCUGGCAGGGGGUGGGGUCAGGGAGGACUAGAGGUGGGGAGGGUGGGGGGGCUGGGCCUACGACUCCUCUCGUCUCUUGUGCUUCACGUUACAAAUAGAUCCGUUUUCUGUGACCAAAUAUGUACAUCCGCUGUCUUCGUUAGACAUGCCCCCUUCCCCCCCCCCCUCCCCAUGAUCGCUUCUUCCAAACAUGCAAACCUCGUACGCCCAGUGCUUUGAGCUCUCUCUCUCCUUUUCCAUCCACGGCCUUUCUCGCUCAACCUUUUCUGAGUCCUUUGAUCCAAACUUUCCCCCUCAUCCGUGUCCUUCCGUGACUCAGUACAUCGCAAUACUGGUACGUGUCUCCCUCUCUCUCUCUCUCUCUCUCUCUCUCUUUCUCCCCUGCUCUCGCUCUUCCCUUUGUCUCCAUCUUUCGUUAUUCUUCAUUCUAACUUACUUUUACCUCGCAAGGCUGCCCAUCAUUUUUAUUUUACAUUCUCUCACUCUCUUUGUGGACCCCAUUCGGAGGCGGGAGUUAUGUCGCAUUCUGACCGAUCUGUAACCAUACGCAACAAACGCAUUGGAAGGACAUUGUGCCAGCUGUUGUUUUGUUGUCGUUUGUGUUCAAUUGUGUGUUGGGGGACUCUUGGCGGUCAUAGUGUGCAUGCAACAUGCAUGGCUCUGGUCCUUCGUCACCUGGGACCACCUUGUCUCUCUCUCCCUCCCUCCUCUCUCUCCCUAUCUCUCAUUUCCAUCAGCAGUCUAUAUGGUGUGAGGGAGGGAGAGAGACGGGAGAUUGAGAAGGAGGAUGUCUUUUCCUUUUGAUUCCAUUUCUCCUUUCCUUUCUAUACGCCCGCCCUUCCUCUGCCCUAUACACACAGAAACACAUGCGCGCACACUCACGGAUGCAUGCACACACACACACACACACACACACACACACACACACACACACACACACACACACACACACACACACACACACACACACACACACACACGCACACUCAAGCAUGCAUGCACACACGCAUAUUCACACAUCACACACUAACGAGCGCACUCACGCAUUAAUGCACGCCCAUACUCACACCCAUGUUUACUCACUACUGGCUUGACUGAGUAAAUCAAAACAAAAAACACUGAGGAG